AUUGAACGCUGGCGGCGUGCCUAACACAUGCAAGUCGAGCGGUAACAGGUGUAGCAAUACAUGCUGACGAGCGGCGAACGGGUGAGUAAUGCUUCGGAAUCUACCUUAUGGUGGGGAAUAACUAGCCGGAAGGUUAGCUAAUACCGCAUACGUCCUACGGGAGAAAGCAGGGGAUCGCAAGACCUCGCGCCAAGAGAUGAGCCGAAGGCGGUGUAGCUAGUUGGUAGGGUAACGGCCGACCAAGGCGACGAGCCGUAGCUGGUCUGAGAGGACGACCAGCCACACUGGGACUGAGACACGGCCCAGACGCCUACGGGAGGCGGCAGUGGGGAAUAUUGGACAAUGGGGGAAACCCUGAUCCAGCGACGCAGCGUGUGUGAAGAAGGCCUGCGGGUUGUAAAGCACUUUUAGUGGGGAUGAAAUGUGCAGGGUUAAUACCUCUGCAUUUUGACCUAACCCACAGAAAAAGCACCGGCUAACUCUGUGCCAGCCGCCGCGGUAA
rnacentral:rRNA from 1 species